rnacentral:rRNA from 1 species
GUAUUAUAUGCUGAUGUUAAAGAUUAAGCCAUGCAUGUGUAAGUUUAAAGACCAAGUAGGAUGAAACUGCGGACGGCUCAUUAUAACAGUAAUAGUUUCUUUGGUUAGUCGGUACAAGGAUAACUUUGUGAAUGAUAAAGCUAAUACUUGAGACGAUCCGGGAAGUAUUUAUACUUUCCGGCCCCCGGCCGCGAGGUUGGGGAGAAACGACAUUCUCUUGUGAAAAAGGAUGCCGCGACAAUUGAGGAAAGCGACGCUUUUAACAAGUAACCAAUGGGAAUUUCUGAUCUAUCAAUUUGUUGGUAGUAUCGAGGACUACCAAGAUUAUAACGGAUAACGAGGAAUUGGGGUUCGACAUCGGAGAGGGAGCUUUACAGAUGGCUACCACUUCUAAGGAAGGCAGCAGGCGCGUAAAUUACCCACUUUCGACCCGAAGAGGUAGUGACGACAAAUAACUCUUGGCGCCCCUCGGGGUGACUUGAAGGAAUGAUUUAGAAGUAAAUUCUCUAAAGAAAUCAAUUGGAGGGCAAGUCUGGUGCCAGCAGCCGCGGUAAUUCCAGCUCCCAA